GUGUUUUUUGGACAUUUGAAAGCAGCACAUACACUAAAAUUGGAACAAUGCAGAGAAGAUUAGCAUGAGCCCUGCUCAAGACUUCAUUACUUUUCCCAGGUUAAAUGUCACUUCAU
rnacentral:snRNA from 1 species